rnacentral:lncRNA from 1 species
AUAAACUUUAUCAGCUGAUAAUUGUGUAGUACUUUCCUGUUUCCUAACUUUCUUAAGGCAGGAAGGGCAUAUAAUAAUAUUAUUAUUCUCAUAUCACAGAUGAUGAAAUAGAUAACUGGAGAGAUGGGGUGACCUGCUCAAGCUGAUGUGAGCAGUAAUUAAUGCCACGCUUCAGAUCUAGACCUCAGGUUUCUCUCACUACAUCUCAUUAUCUGAGUUUGGGCAAGGGCAGCAGUGUUAGCUAGAAGCUAACAGGAAAAACUCUGGAAUUGAAUGACCAAAGGCUUGAAGCCUAGCUCUGCUGAUUGUUAGUUGUGUGACCCUGGGCAAAUUUCUUAAUCACUUAGCCUCAAGUAUUACUCUUCUGUCUUGUUAAAUAAUUCCACACCUCUUAGGGUUCUUGUAAUGAUUUAAUGAAACAAUGCCUGGACAGUCCUUAGCAGGGGCUCUGAAUCUUGCUCUUGCUUAAAUAUGCCAGUUAUUGUUAUUGUUGUCAUCAGAUAUCUCAAAAUGCAGAUUCCACCUGCAUUUCCAAAGAGAAACAAAGAACUGAAUCAUUCGUACGCAUUAUAACAUGUUUUUGCUUCUACUAACUAUAAUCUUUCAGGUAAAAUGGGAGGGCAAAUUGCUUCAAUAUUCUGUUUAACUCACUAUACUAUACUGGCUUUCCAAUUGCCUUGUAGCCACCCCUGCCCUAAUUCUGACCAUCCACCACCAAACCAAGUAUAUGUGCCAUAUGUACUGACAUGAUUGUAAGUUUAAGACAAUUUUGCUAUUCUGAGAUAUGUGUAAACUGCAAUUGGAUUUAACAAUUAAAUUUAGACAUGUAAAAAAUAACAUAACUCAUCUGAAUCUUCCAUUAUAGGCUAAAUAAACCCAAGGAAAUUAUGUCUCCAUUUUUUCCCCCAACUUUCCCCAAUUUAUACUGCAUUCUAGAUUUUCCCAGUAUUAGUUUCAUGAAAGAUCACCCAGUUACUUCCCCACCACUCCAACACAAGUUCUUCUGGAACACUGGCUUUGAAUACAAUGGGGAAUAUCAGUUUCAUUUGGGCAAACUCUGAUUAGAAGGUGGUUUUGUAGAGUAGUGGAAAAUGA